rnacentral:rRNA from 1 species
UACGGGGGGGGCAAGCGUUGUUCGGAAUUACUGGGCGUAAAGGGCUCGUAGGUGGCCAACUAAGUCAGACGUGAAAUCCCUCAGCUUAACUGGGGAACUGCGUCUGAUACUGGAUGGCUUGGGAUUGGGAGAGGGAUGCGGAAUUCCAGGUGUAGCGGUGAAAUGCGUAGAUAUCUGGAGGAACACCGGUGGCGAAGGCGGCAUCCUGGACCAACACUGACACUGAGGAGCGAAAGCCAGGGGAGCAAACGGG